AUGGACAUAUCACGUUGAAACACCAGUUCUCGUAUGAUAACCGAACUUAAGCAAUGUCGAGCCUGGUCAGUAUGUAGAUGGGUGACCGCUUGGGAAUAUCAGGUGCUGUAAG